CCUACGGGAGGCAGCAGUGAGGAAUAUUGGUCAAUGGCCGUAAGGCUGAACCAGCCAAGUAGCGUGAGGGAAGACUGCCCUAUGGGUUGUAAACCUCUUUUAUGCGGGGAUAAAGGUGUCCACGUGUGGAUGUUUGCAGGUACCGCAUGAAUAAGGACCGGCUAAUUCCGUGCCAGCAGCCGCGGUAAUACGGAAGGUCCGGGCGUUAUCCGGAUUUAUUGGGUUUAAAGGGAGCGUAGGCCGGUCUUUAAGCGUGCCGUGAAAAUUUGUGGCUUAACCAUGGGAGUGCGGCGCGAACUGGAGGCCUUGAGUGCGCGGAAGGCAGGCGGAAUGCGUGGUGUAGCGGUGAAAUGCUUAGAUAUCACGAAGAACCCCGAUUGCGAAGGCAGCCUGCCGCAGCGUUACUGACGCUGAAGCUCGAAAGCGCGGGUAUCGAACAGGAUUAGAUACCCCUGUAGUC
rnacentral:rRNA from 1 species